rnacentral:rRNA from 1 species
UACGUAGGGUGCAAGCGUUGUCCGGAAUUAUUGGGCGUAAAGAGCUCGUAGGCGGCUUGUUGCGUCGACCGUGAAAACCCGGGGCUCAACUUCGGGCUUGCGGUCGAUACGGGCGGGCUAGAGUUCGGUAGGGGAGACUGGAAUUCCUGGUGUAGCGGUGAAAUGCGCAGAUAUCAGGAAGAACACCUAUGGCGAAGGCAGCUCUCUGGGACGGUACUGACGCUGAGACGCGAAAGCGUGGGGAGCGAACAGG